CCUGGCUCAGGACUAACGCUGGCGGCGCGCCUAACACAUGCAAGUCGAACGAGAGAGAGGGAGCUUGCUUCCUCAAUCGAGUGGCGAACGGGUGAGUAACGCGUGAGGAACCUGCCUCAAAGAGGGGGACAACAGUUGGAAACGACUGCUAAUACCGCAUAAGCCCACGGGUCGGCAUCGACCAGAGGGAAAAGGAGCAAUCCGCUUUGAGAUGGCCUCGCGUCCGAUUAGCUAGUUGGUGAGGUAACGGCCCACCAAGGCAACGAUCGGUAGCCGGACUGAGAGGUUGAACGGCCACAUUGGGACUGAGACACGGCCCAGACUCCUACGGGAGGCAGCAGUGGGGAAUAUUGCACAAUGGGGGAAACCCUGAUGCAGCGACGCCGCGUGGAGGAAGAAGGUCUUCGGAUUGUAAACUCCUGUUGUUGAGGAAGAUAAUGACGGUACUCAACAAGGAAGUGACGGCUAACUACGUGCCAGCAGCCGCGGUAAAACGUAGGUCACAAGCGUUGUCCGGAAUUACUGGGUGUAAAGGGAGCGCAGGCGGGAAGACAAGUUGGAAGUGAAAUCCAUGGGCUCAACCCAUGAACUGCUUUCAAAACUGUUUUUCUUGAGUAGUGCAGAGGUAGGCGGAAUUCCCGGUGUAGCGGUGGAAUGCGUAAAUAUUGGGAGGAACACAGGGCGAACGCGGCCUACUGGGACCCAACUGACGUGAAGCUCGAAAGUGUGGGUAGCAAACAGGAUUAAAUACCCAGGUAGUCCACACCGUAAACGAUGAUUACUAGGUGUUGGAGGAAUGACCCCUUCAGUGCCGCAGUUAACACAAUAAGUAAUCCACCUGGGGAGUACGACCGCAAGGUUGAAACUCAAAGGAAUUGACGGGGGCCCGCACAAGCAGUGGAGUAUGUGGUUUAAUUCGACGCAACGCGAAGAACCUUACCAAGUCUUGACAUCCCUUGACGAUGCUGGAAACAGUAUUUCUCUUCGGAGCAAGGAGACAGGUGGUGCAUGGUUGUCGUCAGCUCGUGUCGUGAGAUGUUGGGUUAAGUCCCGCAACGAGCGCAACCCUUAUGGUCAGUUACUACGCAAGAGGACUCUGGCCAGACUGCCGUUGACAAAACGGAGGAAGGUGGGGAUGACGUCAAAUCAUCAUGCCCUUUAUGACUUGGGCUACACACGUACUACAAUGGCGUUAAACAAAGAGAAGCAAGACCGCGAGGUGGAGCAAAACUCAGAAACAACGUCCCAGUUCGGACUGCAGGCUGCAACUCGCCUGCACGAAGUCGGAAUUGCUAGUAAUCGUGGAUCAGCAUGCCACGGUGAAUACGUUCCCGGGCCUUGUACACACCGCC
rnacentral:rRNA from 1 species